AGAGAGAGACAUGCGCGCAUAUCAAUAAGCGGAGGAAAAGAAACUAACUAGGAUUCCCCUAGUAACGGCGAGUGAAGCGGGAAGAGCUCAAAUUUGAAAUCUUAAAGGGUUUCCCUUGACGAAUUGUAGUUUAAAGAAGUGUUUUCUGUUGAGGUUUUGGUAAAAGUUCUUUGGAAUAGGACAUCAUAGAGGGUGAGAAUCCCGUAUUUGACCUUUACUUUCAACUUUGUGAUACACUUUCAAAGAGUCGGAUUGUUUGGGAAUGCAGUCCAAAAUGGGUGGUAAAUUUCAUCUAAAGCUAAAUAUUGGCGAGAGACCGAUAGCGAACAAGUACCGUGAGGGAAAGAUGAAAAGAACUUUGAAAAGAGAGUUAAACAGUACGUGAAAUUGUCAAAAGGGAAAGCGUUUGACACCAGUGUUGUUUUUCUGAAAAUCAAUUAAAGAACUGUUUAUGCUAAGUUGUUUAGACUUUAUCAGCUAACUGUUUAGUUUUGAGCUUUUCUUUAAUGCACUUUUCAGUUAACAAGUCAACAUCAAUUUCUUUUGCUGUAAAAAAGCUUGAGGAAGGUGGCUUGAGAUUCGUCUUAAGUGUUUAUAGCCUCUUGCCUAUGCAGUCGGAGAGAUUGAGGUCUGCAGCGUAGAUCCUUCGGGGCUAAAUGCAUUUGUGCUAAGUUAUAGCAUUUUAUAGACAAUUUGUUGACUAUGAUUUGUCUUGUAGCUUACUCGCUUAUGUUAUUUUACCUACGCUUAGGAUGUUGAGCGCAUGUCUCUCUCU
rnacentral:rRNA from 1 species